rnacentral:rRNA from 1 species
AUUGAACGCUGGCGGCAUGCCUUACACAUGCAAGUCGAACGGCAGCACGGGGGCAACCCUGGUGGCGAGUGGCGAACGGGUGAGUAAUACAUCGGAACGUGCCCCGUAGCGGGGGACAACCAGUCGAAAGACUGGCUAAUACCGCAUACGCUCCACGGAGGAAAGCAGGGGAUCGCAAGACCUUGCACUAUGGGAGCGGCCGAUGCCCGAUUAGCUAGUUGGUGAGGUAAAGGCUCACCAAGGCAACGAUCGGUAGCUGGUCUGAGAGGACGACCAGCCACACUGGGACUGAGACACGGCCCAGACCCCUACGGGAGGCAGCAGUGGGGAAUUUUGGACAAUGGGCGCAAGCCUGAUCCAGCCAUGCCGCGUGCGGGAAGAAGGCCU